rnacentral:rRNA from 1 species
GAUGAACGCUGGCGGCGUGCCUAAUACACGCAAGUCGAGCGAAUGGAUUAAGAGCUUGCUCUUAUGAAGUUAGCGGCGGACGGGUGAGUAACACGUGGGUAACCUGCCCAUAAGACUGGGAUAACUCCGGGAAACCGGGGCUAAUACCGGAUAACAUUUUGAACCGCAUGGUUCGAAAUUGAAAGGCGGCUUCGGCUGUCACUUAUGGAUGGACCCGCGUCGCAUUAGCUAGUUGGUGAGGUAACGGCUCACCAAGGCAACGAUGCGUAGCCGAGCGGCGAGGGUGAUCGGACACACUGGGUCUGAGACAUGGUCCAGACUCCUACGGUGGGCAGCAGUAGGGAAUCUUCCGCAAUGGACGAAAGUCUGACGGAGCAACGCCGCGUGAGUGAUGAAGGCUUUCGGGUCGUAAAACUGUGAUGUUAGGGAAGUACAAGUGCUAGUUGAAUAAGCUGGCACCUUGACGGUACCUAACCAGAAAGCCACGGCUAACUACGUGCCAGCCGCCGCGGUAA